GCGCCAGAGGGUCAGUCAUCCAGGAGCCAAACCUGGACCCUGACGUCUUUAUGGUGAUGGGGUCACUGAUGCCCGUCAGUUUUCCGCAUGCUGCAAAGGACAAAGCCCUUGGCGAAAACGUUUGGACACCCCCGUUUUAGAUCAAGAAGGAAGCAUAACUGAGCAGCAAACAGGUUUGACAAGAGGGUCAAAACAAACAGACAAGAAAAGAAUGGCAGCCUCAAUGCUAGUUGUGGAAAUGUACAAGAAAUGUGUCCGUUGUUAUGGCAAAGAAACAAUAAAGCUAACCAUCUGCCA